GGGUUGUGAGGUUAAGCGACUAAGCGUACACGGUGGAUGCCCUGGCAGUCAGAGGCGAUGAAGGACGUGCUAAUCUGCGAUAAGCGUCGGUAAGGUGAUAUGAACCGUUAUAACCGGCGAUUUCCGAAUGGGGAAACCCAGUGUGAUUCGUCACACUAUCAUUAACUGAAUCCAUAGGUUAAUGAGGCGAACCGGGGGAACUGAAACAUCUAAGUACCCCGAGGAAAAGAAAUCAACCGAGAUUCCCCCAGUAGCGGCGAGCGAACGGGGAGCAGCCCAGAGCCUGAAUCAGUGUGUGUGUUAGUGGAAGCGUCUGGAAAGGCGCGCGAUACAGGGUGACAGCCCCGUACACAAAAAUGCACAUACUGUGAGCUCGAUGAGUAGGGCGGGACACGUGGUAUCCUGUCUGAAUAUGGGGGGACCAUCCUCCAAGGCUAAAUACUCCUGACUGACCGAUAGUGAACCAGUACCGUGAGGGAAAGGCGAAAAGAACCCCGGCGAGGGGAGUGAAAAAGAACCUGAAACCGUGUACGUACAAGCAGUGGGAGCACAGAGCAAUCUGUGUGACUGCGUACCUUUUGUAUAAUGGGUCAGCGACUUAUAUUCUGUAGCAAGGUUAACCGAAUAGGGGAGCCGAAGGGAAACCGAGUCUUAACUGGGCGUUAAGUUGCAGGGUAUAGACCCGAAACCCGGUGAUCUAGCCAUGGGCAGGUUGAAGGUUGGGUAACACUAACUGGAGGACCGAACCGACUAAUGUUGAAAAAUUAGCGGAUGACUUGUGGCUGGGGGUGAAAGGCCAAUCAAACCGGGAGAUAGCUGGUUCUCCCCGAAAGCUAUUUAGGUAGCGCCUCGUGAAUUCAUCUCCGGGGGUAGAGCACUGUUUCGGCAAGGGGGUCAUCCCGACUUACCAACCCGAUGCAAACUGCGAAUACCGGAGAAUGUUAUCACGGGAGACACACGGCGGGUGCUAACGUCCGUCGUGAAGAGGGAAACAACCCAGACCGCCAGCUAAGGUCCCAAAGUCAUGGUUAAGUGGGAAACGAUGUGGGAAGGCCCAGACAGCCAGGAUGUUGGCUUAGAAGCAGCCAUCAUUUAAAGAAAGCGUAAUAGCUCACUGGUCGAGUCGGCCUGCGCGGAAGAUGUAACGGGGCUAAACCAUGCACCGAAGCUGCGGCAGCGACGCUGAUGCGUUGUUGGGUAGGGGAGCGUUCUGUAAGCCUGUGAAGGUGUGCUGUGAGGCAUGCUGGAGGUAUCAGAAGUGCGAAUGCUGACAUAAGUAACGAUAAAGCGGGUGAAAAGCCCGCUCGCCGGAAGACCAAGGGUUCCUGUCCAACGUUAAUCGGGGCAGGGUGAGUCGACCCCUAAGGCGAGGCCGAAAGGCGUAGUCGAUGGGAAACAGGUUAAUAUUCCUGUACUUGGUGUUACUGCGAAGGGGGGACGGAGAAGGCUAUGUUGGCCGGGCG
rnacentral:rRNA from 1 species